rnacentral:rRNA from 1 species
AUCUUCCGCAAUGGGCGAAAGCCUGACGGAGCAACGCCGCGUGAGGGAAGAAGGCCUUCGGGUUGUAAACCUCUGUUUUUAGGGACGAAAAAGAUGACGGUACCUAAAGAGUAAGCUCCGGCUAACUACGUGCCAGCAGCCGCGGUAAUACGUAGGGAGCGAGCGUUGUCCGGAAUUACUGGGCGUAAAGGGCGCGUAGGUGGUCCAUUAAGUUACUGGUGAAAGUUCGGGGCUUAACCCCGUGACUGCCUGUAAUACUGGUGGACUUGAGUGCAGGAGAGGGGAGUGGAAUUCCCAGUGUAGCGGUGAAAUGCGUAGAUAUUGGGAGGAACACCAGUGGCGAAGGCGGCUCUCUGGACUGUAACUGACACUGAGGCGCGAAAGCGUGGGGAGCAAACAGG